rnacentral:rRNA from 1 species
GAUGAACGCUGACAGAAUGCUUAACACAUGCAAGUCAACUUGAACUUCGGUUUGUGUGGCGGACGUGUGAGUGACGCGUAGGGAACUUGCCUCACAGCUAGGGACAACAUGUGGAAACGAAUGCUAAUACCUGAUAUUAUGAUUUUAGGGCAUCCUAGAAUUAUGAAAGCUAUAUGCGCUGUGAGAGAGCUUUCCGUCCCAUUAGCUAGUUGGAGUGGUAACGGCUCACCAAGGCGAUGAUGGGUAGCCGGCCUGAGAGGGUGAACGGCCACAAGGGGACCGAGAGAUGGCCGUGAAGCGGAGUGGAGGCAGCAGGGGGGAACAUUGGACAAUGGACCAAGAGUCUGAGUGAGCAAUGCUGUGUGCACGAUAAAGUUUUUCGGAAUGGAAAGUGAUUUCAGUUGGGAAGAAAAAAAUGACGGUACCAACAGAAGAAGUGCCGGCUAACUACGUG